rnacentral:rRNA from 1 species
GACGAACGCUGGCGGCGUGCUUAACACAUGCAAGUCGAGCGGUAAGGCCCUUUCGGGGGUACACGAGCGGCGAACGGGUGAGUAACACGUGGGUGACCUGCCUCAGCUCUGGGAUAAGCCUGGGAAACUGGGUCUAAUACUGGAUAUGACUCCACGGUGCAUGUCGUGGGGUGGAAAGCCUUGUGCGGCUGAGGAUGGGCCCGCGGCCUAUCAGCUUGUUGGUGGGGUGANGGCCUACCAAGGCGACGACGGGUAGCCGGCCUGAGAGGG